CUGUAUGGACCAGCAAGGGGUCAGGAAUGCAUCACAGAGAAUCUCAGCCCUAUUCUAGCUUGCUUUCUGUUGCUGUGUGUGGGCCCCGUAGGCUCCUAUGUUUGAAUGCUUAGUCACCAGGGUGUGGAACUAUUUGAGAGAGUCACAAGGGUUAGGAGGUGUGUCAACGGGGGUGGGCUUUGAGGUGUCAGACGUUCGUGCCAGCUCUCUCUGGAUCAGGAUACAGCUCUUUGCUACUACCCCAAUACCUGUCUGCCUGCACGCCAGAACCCUGCCCACCAUGAUGACCGUGGACUAAGCCUCUGAAAUGAGACAGACUUUCUUCCUUGAGCUCCGGAUUGUGAAUUUCCUGCUUAGAUUCAGAACAUGCUGAGAACAAGGAUUCAGCUACAGAAACCUCAGAAGAGCGACGCACCCUACAACAAAUCUCCACAGAUAUAAAAGAAAGUAACAGCCUUCGAGUCAUAAUGACACAGACCCAAGUGGCCGUCUCUCCCCUCUUCAGCCUCUACACCCAGGUUUCGAUGCUUCUGAAGAAGGAUGUGCUAACUAGUCCAAUUCCUGUAACUCUGAGUCCCACUCUGGAGGGAUGACACACAGGCUCUCUCCAAAGUGGCAGGAUCAACAGAGGUUCUGUGGUGGGUCUUGUCCCCACUUUCCCCGAGAAUAAAACCUUGCUGAUUCCAAA